rnacentral:rRNA from 1 species
AUCUAUAUAAUUUUACUUUCAAAUCCACUUUCAAUCAAUUUUUCAUAUUAAUAUUCAUUUAAAUAAUUUUAUUGUAAUUCAUUUCUACUUAAAUAUAAGCUACACCUUGAUCUGAAAUAAAUUUAUAUAAAAAUUUAAGAAAAUUAUUUAUUCUUUUAAAAUAUUCUGAUAACGACGGUAUAUAAACUGACAACAAAUUUAAGUAAGGUCCAACGCGGAUUAUCAAUUAUAGAACAAAUUCCUCUGAAUAGACUAAAAUACCGCCAAAUUUUUUAAGUUUCAAGAACAUAACUCUUAC